AUUGAACGCUGGCGGCAGGCCUAACACAUGCAAGUCGAGCGGGGUGAUGGUGCUUGCACUAUCACUUAGCGGCGGACGGGUGAGUAAUGCUUAGGAAUCUGCCUAUUAGUGGGGGACACCAUCUCGAAAGGGAUGCUAAUACCGCAUACGUCCUACGGGAGAAAGCAGGGGAUCACUUGUGACCUUGCGCUAAUAGAUGAGCCUAAGUGGGAUUAGCUAGUUGGUGGGGUAAAGGCCUACCAAGGCGACGAUCUGUAGCGGGUCUGAGAGGAUGAUCCGCCACACUGGGACUGAGACGCGGCCCAGACUCCUACGGGAGGCAGCAGUGGGGAAUAUUGGACAAUGGGGGGAACCCUGAUCCAGCCAUGCCGCGUGUGUGAAGAAGGCCUUAUGGUUGUAAAGCACUUUAAGCGAGGAGGAGGCUCUUUUGGUUAAUACCCAAGAUGAGCGGACGUUACUCGCAGAAUAAGCACCGGCUAACUCUGUGCCAGCAGCCGCCGCGG
rnacentral:rRNA from 1 species